AUUUUUGAGGAAAAAUUUGUCUGAUUGCAACCUCUUAAAUUCUGAACCAAGUUCAGAAUAAAAAAUGCUAAAACAGUGUAA
rfam:Flavobacteriaceae bacterium CG2_30_34_30 cg2_3.0_scaffold_1331_c, whole genome shotgun sequence.